rnacentral:rRNA from 1 species
UCAGGAUGAACGCUGCGGCGUGCUAACACAUGCAAGUCGAGCGAUCACUUCGGUGAAGAGCGGCGGACGGGUGAGUAACGCGUGGGUAACCUGCCGUCAUACACAUGGAUAACAUACCGAAAGGUAUGCUAAUACAGGAUGAUAUAAGAGAUUCGCAUGGAUUUCUAUCAAAGCUCCGGCGGUAUGAGAUGGACCCGCGUCUGAUUAGCUAGUUGGUAAGGUAAUGGCUUACCAAGGCGACGAUCAGUAGCCGACCUGAGAGGGUGAUCGGCCACAUUGGAACUGAGACACGGUCCAAACUCCUACGGGAGGCAGCAGUGGGGAAUAUUGCACAAUGGGCGAAAGCCUGAUGCAAGCAACGCCGCGUGAGUGAUGAAGGCCUUCGGGUCGUAAAACUCUGUCCUCAAGGAAGAUAAUGACGGUACUUGAGGAGGAAGCCCCGGCUAACUACGUGCCAGCAGCAGC